rnacentral:other from 18 species
AGAGUUGGUAGCUAGGGUUCCGGCCUUGUCUGAAGGCGCUGGUCCGAGAGCUGCCCCCCGAAGGGAGAAAUCCUUCGGACGCACGGCGGGACAAAAGCCCGGGAGGC